rnacentral:misc_RNA from 1 species
GCAAUUUGUCUUUGUGUGGUUUAAAAUAUGCAAAGGUUAUCGAAUUUUGCGUUGUUUAGUCAAGUUUCCUUUUGUAUUUUGUUUCAAUCACGCAUAUAGAGAGUCGUGUGGCAUAACAAUUAGAUAUUCUAGUAUUUUGGGUCACUGACAAGGUAUGCAAACAUUAGGCAAAGUUGGCAAAGCAAGAUGGGACCCACCUCAAAACUGUCUACCAAGUUUGAAGAGUGAGGCCUGUAUACCGAUGCAAACUGGUUACGAAAAAGAAAGACUAUGGAGCAGUAUUGUUAAAGGUGGAUCAAAACCAGUUAAAAGCUCAGAACAGUCAUUAGAACGUCAUAAAAAGUGUCACGUCACAUCAGAACGUUCUAUACAAAGUAAGUCAAAACAAACGGGACAUAAUGAAGACAGUGUCACUAUAUAUAAGCGAAAAACUACAAAAGGAGAUCAUAGUGAUAUACUGCAAACCGGAAAGAAAAUGUUACUACCUACAGGUUAUUUAUCUGGCGGACCUCCAGCUCGAAGUAAAGAACUAGACAAGAACAGUGCAUGUACACCAGAAACUGCAUUUCAGGAAAACAAUGCUAACAAACAUGGAAAUAAAAGUAUUAUUAUCGAGGAAGAUCAAAAAGAAAAGAAACCUAUGUUAGAAUUCAGCUUACGACCACAAAGCAAAUUUAUGACAGUAUCAAGAGCUGAAAACAGUAGUAUAAACGAUCCACGGCAAGCGGUUGGUCUCGGAUCGGAUGAAGACAUCACACUCUUUUGUAUACCGUGUGAUAGAGAUGGUGCUGGAGAAGCUGCAUUUGGUUAUUGCGAAAAUUGCAGCGAAUUUUUGUGUAAGUCUUGCUUCAAGCAUCAUAAGAAGGCAACACCAUCAAGACAUCAUACACUACUUGAUAAAGACGAAAUGCCAGUCAGUCAGCAACCACAACUUCAGUCAACAGUGUUGGCAAAACCGCAGCUUCCAUCAAACCUUUUGACCCAGUCGCAGCUUCCCUCAAACCUGGUGACCCAACCGCAACUUCCACCAAACCCAUUGGCCCAGCCGCAGCUUCCAUCAAACCUGUUGGCCCAACCGUCGCUUCCAUCAACACUGUUGACGAAGACACAUAAAGUUAGAGGCUACUGCAGCAGACAUCAGAAAGAAUCUUUGAAAUAUAUGUGUACUGAACAUAGACAGAUCGCUUGCAGUGUGUGCGUAAUGCUUGAACAUCGGAACUGCAAUAUUGAGUAUAUUCCAGAGGUUUCUAAGUAUAUUGUAAAUAGCAAACAUUAUUUUGAUACAUCUGAAAGAAUGGAAACAUUUGUAAAAUUGUGUAAAGAUAUCAAAGAUGAGAUGAAACAAAUGGUAGAGAAAUCAAAUGAAUCUUUGAAGAGUGUAUUACCAUUAGUUAAACAUUUCAGACAAACAGUUAAUGAACGUUUUAACGAAUUGGAGAAUGAUAUGGAAAAGAUUGCAGAGAGUCUAUGUAAAGAAAAUAACAAGAAGCUGAAGGGAACAGAAGUUAAACUGGAUUAUAUGGAAAGGUCUGUUCGUGGCGAAUCAAACGAAAUAAAACAUUUAAAUGCAACAGGCCAAACCGAUGCGCUUUUCAUGGAACUAAUAGAAUCAGAGAACAUGUUAGCCGAGCAUGAAGAAAAUGUAUCAAACUUAAAAUCAAACUUAAACAUUUGCGAAUACGAACUUAUUCGCAACCCAAGUUUAUCAUGUCUGUUUGAGAACGAAAUGCCUCUUGGUACAAUACAACAAAAAGUAGAAUACCCUGCUUCAAGAAACGAGAAACCAGAAAUGGCAGACGAUCCAUAGAUAAAUAUAAAGCUAUGCUAAGUACAGUUUUGACUGGAAUGAUGAAACAAAAUAUAUAAGCCGUAAUGUUUCGUAUGCGUCAAUAUCUCUGUCAAUUUCUAGUAAAGUAAACAACUGUAUCACAAUCAUCAUCAUGUUUGAUACGCUGCAAUGUCUGUGUCAGUUAAUGUAAACAUCUGUAUCACAAUCAUCAUCAUGUUUCAUACGCUUCAAUGUCUAUGACAGUUAAUGUAAACAUCUGAAUCACAAUCAUCAUCAUGUUUUAUACGCUUGAAUGUCUAUGCCAGUUAAUGUAAACAUCUGAAUCACCAUCAUGUUUCAUACGCUUGAAUGUCUAUGCCAGUUAAUGUAAACAUCUGUAUCACAAACAUCAUCAUGUUUCAUACGCUUGAAUGUCUAUGCCAGUUAAUGUAAACAUCUGAAUUACAAUCAUCAUCAUGUUUCAUACGCUUCAAUGUCUAUGCCAGUUAAUGUAAACAUCUGAAUCACAAUCAUCAUCAUGUUUCAUACGCUUGAAUGUCUAUGCGAGUUAAUGUAAACAUCUAAAUCACAACCAUCAUCAUGUUUCAUACGCUUGAAUGUCUAUGCCAGUUAAUGUAAACAUCUGAAUCACAAUCAUCAUCAUGUUUCAUACGCUUGAAUGUCUAUGCCAGUUAAUGUAAAAAUCUGAAUCACAAUCAUCAUCAUGUUUCAUACGCUUGAAUGUCUAUGCAAGUUAAUGUAAAAAUCUGAAUCACAAUCAUCAUCAUGUUUCAUACGCUUGAAUGUCUAUGCCAGUUAAUGUAAAAAUCUGAAUCACAAUCAUCAUCAUGUUUCAUACGCUUGAAUGUCUAUGCCAGUUAAUGUAAGCAUCUGAAUCACAAUCAUCAUCAUGUUUCAUACGCUUGAAUGUCUAUGCCAGUUAAUGUAAACAUCUGUAUCACAAUCAUCAUCAUGUUUCGUACGCUUCAGUGUCUGUGUCAAUUUCUAGUAUAGACAACAGUAUCACAAUCAUCAUCAUCAUGUUUCAAUACGCUUGAAUAUCUAUGUCAAUUAAUGUAAACAUCUGACUCAAAAUCACCAUCAUGUUUCAUACGCUUCAAUAUCUAUGUCAAUUUAUGUAAACAUAUGUAUCACAGUCAUCACCACGUACAGAAUAGACAUCUGAACAUGGUACCUAUAAUUACGAAAAUCAAUUCAAAGAAUAAUGCUAAUUGUUUAUUUCUAACAUUUGAGACGAAGUAUAAUACUGAGUGUAAAUUAUAUUAUUUUAGCAUGUCAUUAAAGCUUUUCUGGAAUUUCUAACGUAAUUUUCAUGUAGUUUCUGUUGCUAAUAGCCCAACCUUCCAAGUCAAUGAUAAAUAUGUAAUCCCCAGUUAAAACUGGAUUAAUGCAGAAAGCACUUAUAUGACAAUAUAAAACAGUUGUCAAGUACAUGCAUAACGUGUGAUAUCAGAAAAAAAGUUUUAAGCAUAAUAAUAUAAUUUCAGACCUUCUGUUUUGGUUUCAAUUUACUUAUAAUACUAUGUGUGAAUUUUCAUUUAAAUGAAACGACUUAUCACUAAAUAAUUUAACAUAAAAUAAGUCCAUUUUCAUUUUCAUAUAGUGUCAUACAUUAGGGUCAUACAUGUAUAUAGAUAAAUAUCUGACUGAAAUAUUAUUUGUGUCAUUGAUUGAUCUUUAGUAAGAUAUCUACUAAAUAUAACAGUUUUAUUUACUGAUAUCAAGCUUUGAGAUCAUGUAAAAGGUUCAAUGAUAUUGAUGGAAAUUCAGUUUUAUCCGGUACUAAAGGGUAUGGGGUGUAAUACUACUUCUUAUGGACAGCCACAAUCCAGUACGACGGGCGUAAAAUACGACGGCAGAUAGCUAGGACGUGUAAUUUCACACGAGGCAAAAUCGAUCGGAAAAAAAAUUGAUUUUUAGACAGUUUAGUGUGUUCUGAGCUUGGAGAAUUGGCAGAGUAGUACAAUAGUGUUUGCUGGAAAGAUUAGACAAAGUACAUAAAUCGAAGGGUGAAGAGAACGGACAGUAUUUUGUAUAGUUUCUGGUAGCGUGGUUUAUACGGAGCGGGGUGCGCACGCGCGCAAGUGAAAUUAUGGCAAACCAAGAAGUAAUUGUUGACAAUAAAAUCGUAAAUAAAUUGAAUGUCAUUCAGGCCGACACUCACUCGGAAGAUUCAAACGAUUAUGUUGAAUUUGUUAUGUGUUCACAGCCGGUCUCCCCGCAUACAGAGACUCCAGGUUCUAAAUCUCGGAAAAGACAUAGAUCAAACGCCUUCAGAAACUGUGAAUUUGACUGAUUUAAGUGAAAGUAUGACAAAGAAAGUGAGGCGGUCAGGUAAUACAAACAUUGUGAUAAAAGAAAGUGCUAAGCGCAAAGAAGAAAUUGAAAAAUAAUAGAAGAUAUGAAGGUGUAUUCAUUCAUGCAGAUCAGACAAAAGAUGAAAGACAAAUGGCGUCAAAUAUGAGGGUCCUAGUCAAAGCUCUUAAGGAAGGUAGCUGUGAUAACUUGUGUGUUCAUGGCAGUCGGGUAGUUAGGGAGGAAACUGACAACCGUUCGGGCUAUAGGUUGGAAUCUGGGCGUGCGCGCGAUCAAAAUAGAAACUACAGAUUUGAUAAACCUUAAAUUCAUAUGGGAGAGAAAAUAACUAUAAUAGGAGAAGUGAUAAUUAUAGCAAUAGAAACUCUAAUAAUGCUGGGGGUAGCGGAAGAAAUCAGCAGGAGAGAGUAUAUAAUAGAC